rnacentral:rRNA from 1 species
UACAGAGGGGGCAAGCGUUGUUCGGAAUUACUGGGCGUAAAGGGCGCGUAGGUGGCCUUCUAAGUCAUGCGUGAAAUCCCCGGGCUCAACCCGGGAACUGCGUCUGAUACUGGAAGGCUUGAAUCCGGGAGAGGGAUGCGGAAUUCCAGGUGUAGCGGUGAAAUGCGUAGAUAUCUGGAGGAACACCGGUGGCGAAGGCGGCAUCCUGGACCGGUAUUGACACUGAGACGCGAAGGCGUGGGGAGCGAACGGG